AGUAGAGACGGGGUUCCACCGUGUUAGCCAGGAUGGUCUCGAUCUCCUGACCUCGUCAUCCUCCCGCCUUGGCCUCCCAAAGUGCUGGGAUUACAGGCUUGAGCCACCGCGCCCCGCUCUUUCCUGCUCCAAAUGCUUUUUAAAUAAACUUCCACUCCUGUCCUGGAUUCUGCUUUAUGGCCCUCAGUCGAAUUCUUUCUUCUGAGGAGGCAAGGACUGAAGUUGCUUCUGACCAGUACAGCAGAAAACGAAUACAGCAGGGAUGACUUCCACCAGCUCCACUUUGCAGCUCUGAGGUGUAUUAAAAAUAAACCUAGAGCCCCACCAAAUGAAUCCGCUGGCACGUGGACCUCAGAUGGGGGAAACUGAGGACUGAAUUCUGACCACCCUCCUUUGUUCUAAAUUUCU
rnacentral:lncRNA from 1 species